rnacentral:rRNA from 1 species
UGGGGAAUUUUGGACAAUGGGCGAAAGCCUGAUCCAGCAAUACCGCGUGUGUGAAGAAGGCCUUCGGGUUGUAAAGCACUUUUGUCCGGAAAGAAAUCCUUGGCUCUAAUGCAGUCGGGGGAUGACGGUACCGGAAGAAUAAGCACCGGCUAACUACGUGCCAGCAGCCGCGGUAAUACGUAGGGUGCAAGCGUUAAUCGGAAUUACUGGGCGUAAAGCGUGCGCAGGCGGUUUGCUAAGACCGAUGUGAAAUCCCCGGGCUCAACCUGGGAACUGCAUUGGUGACUGGCAGGCUAGAGUAUGGCAGAGGGGGGUAGAAUUCCACGUGUAGCAGUGAAAUGCGUAGAGAUGUGGAGGAAUACCGAUGGCGAAGGCAGCCCCCUGGGCCAAAUACUGACGCUCAUGCACGAAAGCGUGGGGAGCAAACAGGAUUAGAUACCCUGGUAGUCCACGCCCUAAAACGAUGUCAACUAGUUGUUGGGGAUUCAUUUCCUUAGUAACGUAGCUAACGCGUGAAGUUGACCGCCUGGGGAGUACGGUCGCAAGAUUAAAACUUAAAUGAAUUGACGGGGUCAUAGCUGUUUCCU